UGUGUAGGCGGUCCUCUAAGUUUGGUGUGAAGUCUCCCGGCUCAACCGGGAGGGUGCGCCGAAAACUGGAGGGCUAGAGUGCGGGAAGGGAGAAUAGAAUUCCUGGUGUAGCGGUGAAAUGCGUAGAUAUCAGGAGGAAUACCGGUGGUGCAGACGGCUCUCUGGACCGUAACUGACGCUGAGACACGAAAGCGUGGGUAGCAAACAGGAUUAGAUACCCUGGUAGUCCACGCCCUAAACGAUGCAUAUUUGGUGUAGGUCAUUCAGUUGAUCUGUGCCGGAGCUAACGCGUUAAAUAUGCCGCCUGGGGAGUACAGUCGCAAGGCUGAA
rnacentral:rRNA from 1 species